UUAAUUUAGAACUAGCUCUGAAUCAAAUUUUCCUUUGACGUGUAAACAACCAGACAAAAUGUAUGGUCACUCCAAUGAUUGAACUGGACAAAAUCAAUUUUUGACUGGACAUUGUCUGUUGACCAGCUGUUAUUUCAAGCCCUGUUCUAGAAUAACCAUGAAAUAUUGGUGGGAGCAACACUCUCAGAGUCUUUCAGUAUAAUGUUAUAUCCCCAAAGGACAUCAAUGAGAAAGUUUAUAUUACGGUCUGCUAAACAUGAAAUGUUUGAUGUCCAAUCAUGCCACAUUUGACACCAAAUUAGAGCAUGUUUUGGCAUCAUGUAUUCAAGCUUAGAUGCAAGCAAUGGUAUUACAAUGUAAAAGGUUGAGGAAACCUACAGACAAAGUGGGUGGUUUCACAUCAAAGUUUUGGAUAUUUUACAAACUCAUUUUGUUGAGACUAUUGUUUUUAAGAGUGUACAUGUUGACUAUAGAAAAUGUGGUGAAUUUAGUAGUGAAUUAGAGGAACAUGUGGUGUGAAGUCAUGGGUGAUUAGGAGAGGGAAGUACUAUUUCUAACGAUAAUUGCUUGACUUCAGAUGCCAAAUGAAUACAUGAUUGUACAAUUUUAUUUUUUAUUCUUCUGUCAGGCCACUGGAUUGAUGUGGAUGCUAAAGACUGAAAUGGUGGUGAGACAGACCAAAAAAAAAAAAAGGGCACUGAUGUAGCGGUAAAUGGCAACAGUUGCAACUGGAAGAAACUAAAUCUGUCACCUUGGCUAACCAGUCAACAGUAAAUGGACAGUAGAUAUAUCUGGAAAGACAGUGGACAAACCUGGAUGGACAGUGGGCAAACCUGGAUGGACAGUGGACAAACCUGGAUGGACAGUGGGCAAACCCAAAGCAUUCAAACCUUGACCAACCAGUCAGCAAUGGAUGGACAGUAGACAUAUCUGGAAAGACAGUGGACAAACCUGGAUGGACGGUGGGCAAACCCAAAACAUUCAAACCUUGACCAACCAGUCAACAAUGGAUGGACAGUAGACAUAUCUGGAAAGACAGUGGACAAACCUGGAUUGACAGUGGGCAAACCUGGAUGGACAAUGGGCAGGCCUGAAACAUUCAAACCUUGGCCAAUCAGGAUGCUAGACAGCAGAGAUCGUCACAAGACAGCAUGGACUUGGAGAGACAGGAAAAUGGCAACACACCUAGAGACACAAAUUAAAGAGGAUGCUUAAAGAUUGGCUACCAAGACAAGACAACAAGAUGGUUUAUUAUUAGUAGUUUUUCUGUUUAAUUGAGUUUUUAUUUGGCCCAGCCCGGGAGGCCUUUGAACGUGGGGUGCAGCUGGCCCGGGGUUUUCCUCCUAGGGGCAAGUGGACGUACGGGGAGGUUUUUCACCCAGCUGUUGUUCCACAACCCCUGUUCAAGUUAGUUGAUUGUUUCUUUAGCUCGAUAGUCUUCAACUAGAUUAUCAUAAUAGACUCAUGGCCAA